rnacentral:lncRNA from 1 species
CGUCCUAUAUAUUGAUUUUCAUAUUAGUGAGUAAGUAGUACAAUGUCAUUGCAAUGAAGAAGUUGAUAAUAUUAUUGCAUAUAUGUAAGAAAGCAAAUGCAUCUGCUUUGUGUAUUACACAAAUUUCAACUUAUGCUCAUAUGAUAAUUCUCUUUUCGAACUUAAAAGGCUUCUCUAGAGAAAAUUGAGAGACAUGUUCUUCAAAUUGAUCACAAUAGCCAUGUUGCCAUUAAGAUUAGCCACCAAAAUGCUGUAGAAAACAUGACCAAGUGCCUCCACAUGAUUUUAUUGGAAUUGUUGAUUUUAAAAAUCCAAUUUAAAAACAAAACAUUGCUAUGUAAUCAUGAAAACCAAAGAAUUGAAAAAUAACAUCAAAUUUCUUUCCUUCUCUAAGUUCGUUCCUGCAAAACCAGGAAGAAAAAUAAUGUCUUACAUAAAAGAGAGGACACUUUGGCUAAAGCUCUUCAUUUACUGGACUCGGAAAAUUUGCUUACUACCAAAUUUAUUUAUCCCAAAAAUAAAAAGAAAAUACUUUUUGAUAUAGAAGCAUCAUCUAUUGACUACAAAUUUCAAGUAUUUCUUGGGAGUAACAAUGUCACACAAGUAGAUAUGAGAAUUAAGAUGGGCGUCUUCUCCUUAUCAGUUCUAAAAUAUUUCGAGUAGACUCCCUACAUGUGAUUACUUAGGUCAGAUGGUAAGUGUUGAAGCUCCUGUUAGUGUUCGCUCUUUAUCAGAGGUAUCAUGAGACAUAGAUACAAUUCUAAACCUAUUGAUAGAACAUAUAAAUUAUUACCCUGUAUUUUGUUUUUAAUAUAUAACCCGUCUCAUUUCAGCCUUCAAGUACCUUUCUUGUCCAUUUGUUUACCUCAAGUCAGUAACUCCAAAAUGGCAAGAGAACUUUUCAUUGUUAAUGAUAUCUUUGAUAGAGCAUUUUCUACUAACAGCUUGCUCAAACAUGUUGGUCACUUUCCAUGUUAAUGCAGUGAGCCUCAAGUCCAUUUCUCGUGAUUAUAGAUGCUAGAAUAACUAUAAUAUUCAGACGUUGAAGAGUCUAAAGACAUCUCGGAAGCAUUUGACAAAGAAGGGUUAUCCUCAUCCUAGAGAGAAAUCAGUAAGCAUGUUAACUUCAAGUCAUAUGUAUAAUAAGUAAUUACCGAGAAAUAAAAAAUGAUUCAGAAACAAUGAAUUACAUCAAGUGACUAAUAUGCUCUGCCUAUUAAAUUUGUAAGAUUUAAGCUCUAUCUGGUACACUAACUUUAAACUUUAAGUUACGGGACUUAGCACACAGGACCUUUGUUUGUUAUAGGGGAACCAUCUCUAUUAGUCAAGCUUGACAGUCACUACCUAACGUUUUUGGUAAAUAAAAAUUCAAUAUGUCCGAGAAUGAAAAUGAGGACAUAUUCAGCAGAAAGUUUGAAAGUUUAUUGAACCAAAAUAAAUGAUAACCCAAUUACUGCUUAAGGAUAGGGCAUACUUCAGGAAAGGUUGAGAGAAAUAGAAAACCUGAACUCCACAUGAAGUCCCAUUUCAUUAAAAUUCAUCACAUAUCAAAAGAUAGAGAUCAUGCCAAAUCAUAUUAACUUGUAUUGAUGAAUUGUUUAAGGUAAAUUUAAUAGUAGGCUAUGAUUUUAAACAUCCAAUGCAGAAAAAUACUUUAUAUAUCUGCAGAUAGACAUGAACAUAAUCUAAAGCAAAUACAUACAUAUUACAUAGAGUACAAAAGACAAUUGAUCUCGUGCUUCAAUCAUCUUAGGAAUAUCCUCAUGCUAAAGGGAAGAAAUUAUCACUAACAUGGUGCCUCCAUUAGUUGGAGGCACAAGUUAUUCCUAAGUUUAAAUAUCGAUUCAAAACUAUAAAAGAUACUUUGAACAAGAAAAAGAAAGAAGCAGUAAACCAGUGAAAGUGAAUUACCAACCUGACCAGCAAGUGAGAAUAGCAAGAUUCCCCUUGACCUCCUUGGGGAGUUGGCAGUUGAAUUCAUCAAAAGAAUAAACUGAAAACUUAAAGGAUGACAACACCUUUAAGCUUCAAUCUUCAUAUCAAUGUUUGAUGAGCUAUGAAUAACUAAGGUUGUCUAAAUCGAAAUAAACUCAACUACAUAGUAAUCGUGAAGAAAUAGAGAUUACCUUGCAAUGUAUAAGCAUAAAUCUCAUAUCAUAUUUAAGCCAACAUUCUCACCCUACCUGCAAUCAAAUCAGCCAAAUAAACCAAAAAAAGGAGUGUGUAAUCCAUAUAGUGACCCUAAAUAUCAACUCAACUAAUUAAAAUAAUAAAAUCAAAUUCGAAGAAGUGAAAUAAUUAGCUUUAAGUUGUAGAGCAUCUGUUAAAAGAUCAAAGAAUGCAUAUUAUCAAGCACUUCUCUACUGAUCUAUAUCGCAAGAUCCCAACAUUUACAAGUUAUGCUCUUCUAUAUAAUAAAAAAAAAAAGUUUUAGAUUUUUCAUUUCAGGUGAGAUCUAUAGCACAAGAUCCCAGCAUUUAUUGUGAGGUGAUCAUCGGUGUCAGGUUGUGUUUGAUGUUGUUGAUUCUCUUGGUAUUCCUAAAAUGCAAACUUUAAGUAUUGAUGGUGUUUUAGAUCAAUCCCAUUGUUCGAGGAAAUAUCUCGUUUAGUAAAUGAAGAGUCCAACCUAAUUAUAUUUAACAAUUCUUUCCUAAACUAUUACAAUGGAUCUAAUAAUUCCUUUCUCAGAAGAUGGUCAUAGCUUUCUAGAGCAAUCCUUGGUGACUUAUGUUUGUCAUAGUUAAUUUCAGAUUCUUCAAAAAAAAGAGGUAUAAUUUUUUUAAAAAAAAACAGAGAAGUAUAGGAUUUGACUUUCGUACGAUGAAACAUUUAUCCAUACUGCAUAAAGGAAGAACUGCAAUCUUUCAUUUAAGAGCAAUUCUUAGGGGUGCAGUCCUGAGUCACAAACUACUACAUUCAUAUUCACCUCAUUU